UGCGUAGGCGGUUAUUUAAGUCUUUGGUGUAAGUGCAGGGCUCAACUCUGUGAUGCUAAGGAAACUGGAUGACUUGAGUGUGGUAGAGGUAAGUAGAAUUCCAUGUGUAGCGGUAAAAUGCGUAAAUAUAUGGAGGAAUACCAGUGGCGAAGGCGGCUUACUGGGCCACAACUGACGCUGAGGCACGAAAGCGUGGGGAGCAAACAGGAUUAGAUACCCUGGUAGUCC
rnacentral:rRNA from 1 species